rnacentral:rRNA from 1 species
CCUACGGGUGGCAGCAGUGAGGAAUAUUGGUCAAUGGGCGGGAGCCUGAACCAGCCAAGUCGCGUGAGGGAAGACGGUCCUAUGGAUUGUAAACCUCUUUAGGCGGGGAGCAAUGCCGGGCACGUGUGCCCGGAGGGAGAGUACCCGCAGAAUAAGCAUCGGCUAACUCCGUGCCAGCAGCCGCGGUAAUACGGAGGAUGCGAGCGUUAUCCGGAGUUAUUGGGUUUAAGGGGUGCGUGGGCGGCUUUUUAAGUCAGCGGGAAAAUGUCGGGGCUCAACCCGGGCCGGCCGUUGAAACUGGGGAUCUUGAGUGGGCGAGAGGUAUGCGGAAUGCGGGGUGUAGCGGUGAAAUGCAUAGAUAUCACGCAGAACUCCGAUUGCGAAGGCAGCAUACCGGCGCCCGACUGACGCUGAGGCACGAAAGCGUGGGGAUCGAACAGGAUUAGAUACCCCGGUAGUC